rnacentral:rRNA from 1 species
GAGUAUGGUCACUGGAUUUGGCCCAAAGAGGGUGAAAGGCCCGUCCGGGUGGAGGUUCAGAAAUGUAAGGCAGUUCACCAGGUCGACCUUAGAGUCGGGUUGUUUGAGAAUGCAGCCCAAAGCGGGUGGUAAACUCCAUCCAAGGCUAAAUACAAGCACGAGUCCGAUAGCGAACAAGUACCGUGAGGGAAAGUUGAAAAGUACUCUGAAGAGAGAGUAAACAGUACGUGAAACCGCAUGCAGGUAAACGGGUGGCGUCAAGCUGCAAGCUCAGAGGAUUCAGCCGGCUAGGAUGUUGUGUAUGCGCCUGGCGCAUCCAUCAGUCAGAGUAUGAUUAGAUAGUCCACUGGUAAACGGUGGGCCCGACCGCAAGGUUGGGAUAUGUGUACCGGGUGGGUGCCGGAGCAUGCUAUCUGUCUAGGGACUGUCUAGCCGGUGCACUUUCUCUGUGGCUGACACCACGACCGGUGGUAUUGCCAGUCUGCUGUGUCCAAGUCGUAUCCGGUAGGUCCUUGUGGCCAACUGGGUGCGAUCACAGACAAACUCAGUAUACGGCGUAGAGGGGUUUCGGCUUCUUUGCGUGUUAUCGGCUACUGGUUGUCAACGGGCUGCCUAGUGUUUGUUGUAAUCGGCACUUGGGUAGUCUGGUGGGGCAUGGUGGUAAGAAUAACUGUGCAAGGCACCGGAUUUAUCGGCCUCAAAUGCACUCCGCGCCCAUGUUACAAGUGGUGCUAUGGUGGUGCCGUCGCUGCCUGCUCGGUGUUGGGUCUGAUUGUCGUGUCGCCUGCGAAAAGUGGGCCCGGCUUUGGCUCGACUCGAGAUGGGUAGUGUAUGGUGUCGUCAGUGCGGAGUGUGGUGGGCCUAAUAGUCAGUGGUGUAGUGGUAGACGAGCUACCCGACCCGUCUUGAAACACGGACCAAGGAGUUUAACAUGUAUGCAAGUCAAUGGGCGUUACGAAACCCAAAGGCGCAGUGAAAGUAAAGCUCCGACUUGUCUCGGGGUGAG